UACGGAGGGUGCGAGCGUUAUCCGGAAUUACUGGGUUUAAAGGGUGCGUAGGCGGCUUGGUAAGUCAGGAGUGAAAGUUUGCGGCUCAACCGUAAAAUUGCUUUUGAUACUGCCAGGCUGGAAUCAGGAUGAGGUCAGCGGAAUGUGGCAUGUAGCGGUGAAAUGCAUAGAGAUGCCAUAGAACACCAAUUGCGAAGGCAGCUGGCUAGACCUGUAUUGUCGAUGAGGCACGAAAGAGUGGGGAGCGAACAGG
rnacentral:rRNA from 1 species